CGGACGGGUGAGUAACACGUGGAUAACCUACCUAUAAGACUGGGAUAACUUCGGGAAACCGGAGCUAAUACCGGAUAAUAUAUUGAACCGCAUGGUUCAAUAGUGAAAGACGGUUUUGCUGUCACUUAUAGAUGGAUCCGCGCCGCAUUAGCUAGUUGGUAAGGUAACGGCUUACCAAGGCAACGAUGCGUAGCCGACCUGAGAGGGUGAUCGGCCACACUGGAACUGANACACGGUCCAGACUCCUACGGGAGGCAGCAGAC
rnacentral:rRNA from 1 species